rnacentral:lncRNA from 1 species
UCAGCGAGCAUUUGAACCAAACAGUUAAUUGUAUCACAAUUGUGUGGGGAUAGAAGAGUAAAUUAGUAAUUUCCAUAGAAAUAUUUAACAUUAACAUAUAUGUGUGGAAGUAUAACUAGACCAGAAAUACACACACACAUACACACCAGAGAAAGAUAUUCCUAACCUGCCUUUACUGCUUCUUGCAACGUUUCAAGUACCGUAUCCAAGGAAACCAUAUGAUGCCUGGAAACCAUAUUACAUUAACUACACAACAACAAUAGCAAAAUAUAUUCGAAAAAGGGAUUUAUAUUGUACAGUACAUGAUUAAGAAGAUCCGUGAGGGAUGAAAAUAAACCGAAUAACUGUGGUUGGACAAUUACUUUCUUUGCUUUAGGUAGAAGUUGAGCAAAUGCCCUGCAGGCACCUACUUUUACAGGUGGAGGUCUGUCAGAUUAAAAGUUAGAAGAAAGCUUGAUAUACAAAGAAUACAAAUUGACACGUGUUUGCUUACACAUUCACUGUAAUUGCCUUCAGUGCAGCAUCAAGAGAGUGCUCUAGUACUUGAUUGCUUAUUUGUAAAUUAAGAGAUUUUCACGUCAAGAUUAUAACAUAUGAACACAUGUAAUCAUUAUAUCCAUAUUAGGAAAAACACAAGUCCCACAUUGAAUAGAGAUAAGGCCUUAAAUGUGUUUGUAAAGAGUGGCACCUCAACUUACAAGCCAUAAUAGAGACAUUACUCCAAGGUACAAUAUUAUUCUUUCACAAUUGUGGCUUGUAAAAUGACAGGUGACACUCUUCAUAAAAACUUAAUGAUCCUACAAUCAAUUUACUGAUUUUCUGAAUGUGAUGCUAUGAUUAAAUUUGAUAAUUUUCCAUUCAUUUACUUUAGAAAUCGUCGAAGGUUAGUCAAGGGGAAAAGAGUUGCAGGAAGUAAAAUUGAAAAGUUGGUGGAUGAAUUUCCACAGGCUAUCUUCUCUUCAGGUAUGGUUGUAUUGGCUGUCCAUUGUGUUUUUUUCCUUCAAAAAUACUCGUGAGAAGGAAUUCAGAUCAGAUUGUGUAAAAAAAUGGCUUGGGUUAUGUUUCUUUAAUCUGCCAUACAUACAUGCAUAAAAUGAAGGAAAAAAUCAAUAUAUUCAGAUUUUGCUGAAAUCUGAGCGAAACAGUGCUUUAAUAUGAACUAGAAAGUGAGUAGUUCCUUCAAUAGAACGGAGGAAAUUCUUCCACUAACUAUUUUUAUCAAACUUUGUCCGGUUUAAUGUCAUUUUCCUGCGUUAUUUGAAUAAGCUCUGAUUUGUAACCAUUCUAUUUGCAGGAAAGAUAAAUGAUGACAAAGAAUUACCUGGUGCAGUUUUAUUAUGCUUCUCUUUCACUCCUAAAAAUGUGUACUCAGCCUGCUCGAGAUAAUCUGCAGCCUA